UACAGGGGGGGCAAGCGUUGUUCGGAAUUACUGGGCGUAAAGGGCUCGUAGGCGGCCAACUAAGUCACACGUGAAAUCCCCAGGCUUAACCUGGGAACUGCGUGUGAUACUGGAUGGCUUGAAUUCGGGAGAGGGAUGCAGAAUUCCAGGUGUAGCGGUGAAAUGCGUAGAUAUCUGGAGGAAUACCGGUGGCGAAGGCGACUUUCUGGGCCUGCUUUGACACUCAGACGCGAAAGCAUGGGGAGCGAACGGG
rnacentral:rRNA from 1 species